AGUAUUUUCACUACAUGUAUUGAUCUUUUUGACUUAACAACACGAAGACAGAUCAUUAGAGGGGACAGAGAGAAAUGCAAAGUGUUCACGGAAAAGAGGUACGAGUUUUUAUUGUAUUGCACAUUUUAGACGAAAGGUACAUCAUCCCUAUUAAUGUGUUGUUAAAUUGUUUAAAUCUUGUAUAGAUGGUAGUGUUGUAUAGAUGGUAGUGUUUGCUCUGUUGGCGUGUUUGUCGAUGUUAUUUUAUGCAUCAUUUAAGCGAAGAAUACUUGUGAUGUUAUGCCACUGUUAUAAGACUAAAUCGAGUACACAUUUCGUUAAACAGGAUUUCGGUAAGCAUAUUCGAUCAGAGUCUGUUUAAAUAGUUGCGCCAUCUGUUUCGGUUACUCUGGUUCAGCUUCACCCUCCUCCUCAUUGAAUUCGCCCUCCUCUUCAGCUGUGGCGUCCUGGUACUGCUGGUACUCAGAAACAAGGUCGUUCAUGUUCGACUCUGCCUCAGUGAAUUCCAUCUCAUCCAUGCCCUCGCCAGUGUACCAGUGGAGGAAAGCCUUACGACGGAACAUAGCGGUGAACUGCUCAGAGAUGCGCUUGAACAGCUCCUGGAUGGCGGUGCUGUUGCCAAUGAAGGUGGCAGACAUCUUAAGACCACGUGGAGGGAUAUCACAAACAGCGGUCUUCACGUUGUUGGGGAUCCACUCAACGAAGUAGCUGCUGUUUUUGUUCUGCACGUUCAGCAUCUGUUCGUCGACUUCCUUCAUGGACAUGCGACCUCGGAAGAUGGCAGCGACAGUCAGGUACCUGCCGUGACGCGGGUCGCAGGCAGCCAUCAUAUUCUUUGAGUCGAACAUUUGCUGUGUGAGCUCAGGGACGGUAAGGGCCCUGUACUGCUGGCUACCACGGGAUGUGAGUGGAGCGAAC